UGGCUCAGGACGAACGCUGGCGGCGUGCCUAAUACAUGCAAGUCGAGCGAACCACUUCGGUGGUUAGCGGCGGACGGGUGAGUAACACGUGGGCAACCUGCCUGUAAGACUGGGAUAACUUCGGGAAACCGGAGCUAAUACCGGAUAAUCCUUUUCCUCUCAUGAGGAAAAGCUGAAAGUCGGUUUCGGCUGUCACUUACAGAUGGGCCCGCGGCGCAUUAGCUAGUUGGUGAGGUAACGGCUCACCAAGGCGACGAUGCGUAGCCGACCUGAGAGGGUGAUCGGCCACACUGGGACUGAGACACGGCCCAGACUCCUACGGGAGGCAGCAGUAGGGAAUCUUCCACAAUGGACGAAAGUCUGAUGGAGCAACGCCGCGUGAGCGAUGAAGGCCUUCGGGUCGUAAAGCUCUGUUGUUAGGGAAGAACAAG
rnacentral:rRNA from 1 species